rnacentral:rRNA from 1 species
AGGGUUUGAUCCUGGCUCAGAGCGAACGCUGGCGGCAGGCUUAACACAUGCAAGUCGAACGAUAAGCUAGACUUCGGUUUAGUGGACAGUGGCAGACGGGUGAGUAACGCGUGGGAAUCUACCUUUGAGUGGGGAAUAACAAUUAGAAAUGAUUGCUAAUACCGCAUACACCCUCCGGGGGAAAGGCUUCGGCCGCUCUUAGAUGAGCCCGCGUACGAUUAGUUUGUUGGUGAGGUAAAGGCUCACCAAGACUACGAUCGUUAGCUGGUUUGAGAGGAUGAUCAGCCACACUGGGACUGAGACACGGCCCAGACUCCUACGGGAGGCAGCAGUGGGGAAUAUUGGACAAUGGGCGAAAGCCUGAUCCAGCCAUGCCGCGUGAGUGAAGAAGGCCUUAGGGUUGUAAAACUCUUUUAUGGGGGAAGAUAAUGACGGUACCCCAUGAAUAAGCACCGGCUAACUACGUGCCAGCAGCCGCGGUAAUACGUAGGGUGCGAGCGUUGUUCGGAAUUACUGGGCGUAAAGGGCGUGCAGGCGGAUUGGCAAGCCGGAGGUGAAAGCCCGGGGCUCAACCCCGGAGGGUCUUUCGGAACUGCCAGUCUUGAGAGGGUCAGGGGCCAGCGGAAUUCCUGGUGUAGAGGUGAAAUUCGUAGAGAUCAGGAGGAACACCGGCGGCGAAAGCGGCUGGCUGGGGCCACUCUGACGCUGAGGCGCGAAAGCGUGGGGA